rnacentral:rRNA from 1 species
AUGCACAAACCGAACAAAACCCAAGAAUUCUACUACUCUAAUGUACUCCCUCCGUCAGGAGAAAUGGAUGUAUUCAAAUGUAUUUUAAUUUUAGAUACAACCAUUUUUCAUUUCUCCGACAAGAAUUUUCGGAUGAAGGGAGUAGUAUACUUGGCAUUGCUGCCCAAGAUUUUUGUUUCUUCUUCUAGAAUAUCAUUGCUGCCAUGGGACGAAUUCUACAGUACUAUAUAUAUGUGCUUGACUUUUUUGCUGUGCAUCUCAACUCAAGUUGGAGGAGUGGUAAGAAUGCAGAUCUUGCUCUGA